rnacentral:rRNA from 1 species
UGGGGAAUUUUGGACAAUGGGCGAAAGCCUGAUCCAGCAAUGCCGCGUGUGUGAAGAAGGCCUUCGGGUUGUAAAGCACUUUUGUCCGGAAAGAAAUCCUUGGCUCUAAUACAGUCGGGGGAUGACGGUACCGGAAGAAUAAGCACCGGCUAACUACGUGCCAGCAGCCGCGGUAAUACGUAGGGUGCAAGCGUUAAUCGGAAUUACUGGGCGUAAAGCGUGCGCAGGCGGUUUGCUAAGACCGAUGUGAAAUCCCCGGGCUCAACCUGGGAACUGCAUUGGUGACUGGCAGGCUAGAGUAUGGCAGAGGGGGGUAGAAUUCCACGUGUAGCAGUGAAAUGCGUAGAGAUGUGGAGGAAUACCGAUGGCGAAGGCAGCCCCCUGGGCAAGUACUGACGCUCAUGCACGAAAGCGUGGGGAGCAAACAGGAUUAGAUACCCUGGUAGUCCACGCCCUAAACGAUGUCAACUAGUUGUUGGGGAUUCAUUUCCUUAGUAACGUAGCUAACGCGUGAAGUUGACCGCCUGGGGAGUACGGUCGCAAGAUUAAAACUCAAAUGAAUUGACGGGGUCAUAGCUGUUUCCU